AGAGCGAACGCUGGCGGCAGGCUUAACACAUGCAAGUCGAGCGGGCGUAGCAAUACGUCAGCGGCAGACGGGUGAGUAACGCGUGGGAACGUACCUUUUGGUUCGGAACAACACAGGGAAACUUGUGCUAAUACCGGAUAAGCCCUUACGGGGAAAGAUUUAUCGCCGAAAGAUCGGCCCGCGUCUGAUUAGCUAGUUGGUGAGGUAAUGGCUCACCAAGGCGACGAUCAGUAGCUGGUCUGAGAGGAUGAUCAGCCACAUUGGGACUGAGACACGGCCCAAACUCCUACGGGAGGCAGCAGUGGGGAAUAUUGGACAAUGGGCGCAAGCCUGAUCCAGCCAUGCCGCGUGAGUGAUGAAGGCCCUAGGGUUGUAAAGCUCUUUUGUGCGGGAAGAUAAUGACGGUACCGCAAGAAUAAGCCCCGGCUAACUUCGCGCCAGCAGCCGC
rnacentral:rRNA from 1 species